rnacentral:lncRNA from 1 species
CCCAGAACAAUUAAGCAUUCAUAAUUGAAAACAAAGAAAUUAGGGUUUUAUUGCAUAAAACUAGAAAUCAAAUAAUAAAAUCCAUCCUAGGGUUUAUCUCCCCUAGGUAUUAAGAGAAUUAGUUCAUACUUACAAGAAUAAACACCAAAAAUACAAUAUGACCACUAAAAUAAAAGAAAUUCAUGAUAAUUCCCUUGGAAAAGACUCUUGUAUCUUGAUGGAGAAUUGUUUGAAAAUUGAGAAUUGUUUGAAAAUUGACUUCAAUGGUGUUUGCUGGGUAAUUUUCGUGCUAUCUCUUGAUGUCCACUUUUUUUUCUCUUUUAAUUCCUUAUUUAUGCCUUCUUAAAGUGUCAAAAACCUAAAAACCUUGACUUCCUUCUGUUAGCGCACAUGGUUCCUAAAAUCGUCACGCCUUGGCCACACGGUCAUGUGGAUUGCCCAUAUGAAACUUUGCUGCAUGUGUACAACUUCCGGAAUGUUCCAUUGUUUUAAUUUUCACCAUUGUUCACUCUUAUUGCUCGCAAGUACCCUAUUAAGCAUAAAAACAUGAAUAUAAAGAAUUAGAAGUAUAUAAUUAACCAUUAACGUCACAUAAUCACCCAAAAAUGCACUGAGAAUGAGGCUAAAAUAGAUUACUAUUGACACUUAUCAUAAGGAUGCAAAUAUUCUUUCUGGUAUGGAAUUUAUUUACUUUUCAAAAACGAGUAUCACUAUCAAUACAAUUAUAAGUACAAUAUAAACAUAAAUAUAUAUUCAACUAGUUAUAAUAUAAAAUUGAACCAAUAUAAAACAUAACGAAUAAAGAAUCAUACAAAAUUAAUGUCUAACAGACACGUGAAGAAAGCACAAACCAUAUAUUGUAAUUAUGGAUAAAUCUAUCUUAACCAACAAAUCGGUCCAUCAAAUUUUAGUAUGAUAAAGCUUUUUUUAAAAUAAUAGGAUAGACUACAAGACAGUAAUGCCACCGAAGACCAUGUACCAAAGAAAAUGUCAUCAUCAUACCAGAAAAAAAAAUUAUUAUUGUAAUAAGUACAAUUUGUCCGGGCUCGAUUAAAAUCCAAAUAAAACAAAUAUAAAAACCAGUCCAAUAUUCGAAGGCCCAUUUUCAUGGCCCAAACCUAACUACCCAGAUGCAGGCCCAAAGCCUAGGCUUUACCCUAGCCCGAUUUCAGUAUGGCCCAGCGUAAGUAUUCAGAAGCAGUAGCCCUAGCCGCAUUCUGCUCAACGCCCCCAGCAGUCUCCAGCGUCGCCAGCAAGACUCUAAUCAGUGCACAUUUCGGAACCGACCACUCCCCACGAUACCUGCAAACACGGACUAAGAGUCCAAGAAGAAAAUAUUGUAAAAAUAAAGCAUUUUAUCGGGCUAUAUAAAGCCAAAUUGGUAUACUGAAAUGGGGGAAAUGAAAGAUUAUAAAAAAGAAAAAAGGAAGGCAAACGUCGUAUUGAAAAACAUCAGAAAACACGAAAGAUCAGAAUACGAUUUUGAAGGUUUUUAUUUUUUUUCCUCGAGUCUCCUUUCUGUUUUAGUCACCAUUUCAUGUUUUUGAGACAAAAAUAAGGGAAGAGGGAGGAGUUUUGUUUACCUUUCGAUCGGCGGCGUCGUACGGUGGGGAAAACAUGAGAACGGCAACGCUGAAGGGUUGAUAAAACCCUAAGGAAGCUGCUUCUGCUUCAGGGAAAAGGGAGCAAAAUAUUUUCCCUAAAUUUUUUCU